AACAUCUGCAUAAGUUGCAAAGAGAGUGACGCCGUUUGGGUCUUGACAAUCGCCCAGAAACUAUGACCUUUGAAAUAUCUGCGGAAAAUCCUAGUAUGUUUGAAGACAUUACAUGAGAAAGGCCUACCUCUGGCUGAGCAAUUUGUUAUACCUCAUCUUGCGGCCCAUCCUGCUCAUAAAAAUGCCUUUGAACGCCCUGUUCAGAGGCUGGUAUUUACAUUUUCAUGAUUCCUGUGCACCCUACGAGGCAAAUAAUGAGAAACUCACACAUCGCUUUCUGGAUGUGAUUCACCGCAAUUGGCAUUUGGGAUUUACCUCCUUUGGUGGCCCUCCAGUUCAUUUCAGAAUUUUCUACCAAAAAUUUGUCGAAGAUCAAAGAGGGAUAAUACCAUG
rnacentral:sRNA from 2 species